AAAACCCAGCUUCUGAAACGAACGCCCUUUUCCUUCCAUCCCCACAUUCACGAUGAGAAGAGAAUCGACGAAGGGUUGCUCCCACCACCGCCAUCACCGGCAACGACGCUUCCACCUCCACCGGUGACCACGCUUUGCACCUCCACCACCGGUACCCAACCCCAAGUCUUCUGUUCUCAUAUCCCCUCUCCCUAUCUCGGGCUGAUUCUCCUGGUCACUGUAGACGAGGGCAGCGCUACCCACCGCCGGCGACCACCACCACAAUCUGCUUCUGGGCAGUCUGACGUUACCCCACCACGAAGGAGAAGUUGCCACCCACAGAUUCAAGGCUCAGACCCGAUCAAAGGUGCUUGGCAUGGCAAAUUCAGAGAAGUUGUGCCUCAAGCAACGGCAGCGGCAGCGGUAGAUGUUCGUUGGUGGAGUUCGAGCGGAGUAAAAAUAUGGCAUGGCCAAUGGAGAGAGCCAUUUGUUAAAUCUAGAGGAUGGGAAAAGAAAUCAUCUGAUUAUGCAACUUUAAAGGAUAGCUUAGCUGCUGCGAAAGUUAGCUAUGGGACCAAUAGCUUUGCAAAGACUAGUGGAAACUCGAAAAGGCAGUAAAGAGAUUGAAGCUAUUCAAGUGAAUCAAAGGCCAAGGAAAACGAUUAAUUUGUUGUAGUUUGGAAUAUCAAUAUGUACUAAGUUUUGUACGCAAAUGAUGAAGUUAUACGCAAGUGUGCUGGAAACUCAAUGGCAAGGAUGCAGAGGACAACAAAGUUAUACGCAAAUGAUGACUGCACUGGA